ACUGUUUGCUGAUGGCUCAGGAUGAACGCUAGCGGCAGGCCUAACACAUGCAAGUCGAGGGGUAACGGAGGAAGCUUGCUUUCAGACGACGACCGGCGCACGGGUGAGUAACGCGUAUGCAACCUACCUAUAACAGGGGGAUAGCCCGGAGAAAUCCGGAUUAAUACCGCAUAAUAUUUAACUAAGGCAUCUUAGUUAUCUUAAAUUUUUUAAAGGUUAUAGAUGGGCAUGCGUAAUAUUAGCUAGUUGGUGAGGUAAAGGCUCACCAAGGCGAUGAUAUUUAGGGGGUCUUAAAGGAUGGUCCCCCACACUGGUACUGAGACACGGACCAGACUCCUACGGGAGGCAGCAGUGAGGAAUAUUGGUCAAUGGGCGAAAGCCUGAACCAGCCAUGCCGCGUGCAGGAUGACUGCCCUAUGGGUUGUAAACUGCUUUUAUAUGGGAAGAAACGAUUCUACGUGUAGAGUUCUGACGGUACCAUAAGAAUAAGGAUCGGCUAACUCCGUGCCAGCAGCCGCGGUAAUACGGAGGAUCCAAGCGUUAUCCGGAUUUAUUAGGUUUAAAGGGUGCGCAGGCGGAAGAAUGAGUCAGUGGUGAAAUCCUACAGCUCAA
rnacentral:rRNA from 1 species